AUUUUAUCUGGAUAAGCAAAAAGAGACGCCCGCAUAAGAGCCUACCAAAAGAUUGAAGAACUUCGGCAACUUCUAGAAAUUGCCUACAGCAACUACAAACAGCUGGGAGGAAUAACUGUAGAGGAGAGGAAGAAGAAGAAAGAAGAAAGGGAGGCUGAAAAGAUGAUUAGAGAGCUGGAGGCCCAGCUAGAAUACGAGCGAGUCCGUCGAGAGAAGCUGGAGCGUCAGCUGGAUGAAUACCGAGCAGAGACAAGCCACCUCAAAGAGUGUCUGGAGAAACUGCAGCUCACACCCACUAUCUCUGGGGUGAGUGUCUGCCCUCAGGAAGGUGAGGCUGCCUCUGAUUUAGGCAAAGAGAAAAAGAAAAUGAAGAAAAAGCCACCAGGCAGCCCAGGCGGAGUGUUUGUGAGACGAUACUGAGGCGUGAAUGGAGCGUUGCUGGUCUUUUUUACAUCCAUCUUGUCAGACUGAGUGUUAGAGAAGGGCAUUCGCACACGAAAUGCAGUGCUCUCUCACAGUGACAGGACAGGGACAUCUCAGACAAUAUUGCCAUGAGCUAAACUCAUGCUAAACAAGGGUUACCUUUUAUUUCUCUCUGAAAGUUCUCUAUGUAAGUCACAGUCUGAUAUUUCACUAGAGGGAGUGGAAAUGUUAUGUAAUAGCACUGGUAGAAGGCAAGCUUCAAGAUACUACAGAAGUGUGCAUAUAGCAUAUUUGCAGCUUAAUGUUGUACACCACGUAUGGUUUCUGAUCCUUGUAGUUUUAACUAGCUAAGUACCGGGUUCUUUGCUUAAAGAUAAAUCUUAGUGUGGAGACACUUUGUUUUCUGAAAUGGUGAAUGAUUUUUUCUUUUCUGUACUGGCACAUGGUAGUGACUGGUUAGCAAAUCAUAUAGGGUAAAGUUUUCAAAAGCAUUUAAGUUCAGUUUUCAGAAGUGAGCUAGGCUCCUAAGUCCCCUUGACUUUCAAUUAAAAUUAGGCACUUGAGUGCCUAAAUCACUUGAAAAUUUUACCCAUAUUUUCAUCAUAUACUCAGAAGAUAGAGACUUAAGUACUUGUGCAGAGAGUGGCUCUAACUGAACCUCCAGACCAGGUAUUCUUGUUUACCCGAACUCUUCCAUGUCCUUCACUAAGACAUGGACAUUGACAUCUUUCAUAUGUCACUUAUAUGAAAAUAAUUCAAAUGACAGAAGGAAAAGAGAUGGGGCAACUUAAGGACAAUAUAUACACCCUACAAAUACCUGCUUGUGUAAAUAAUCAGGCUGUGCCAACUCCACAUGAUCAUCACUUAACAGCAAACUCCCUUACACUGAUUUCACUGCAUGAGGAAUAAGAUUUCAGUUAAAGGGGAACAAAGGAGUUGACAGUUUUACUAUCCAGACCACUCAGAGACAUUCAGGACCAAAUUACAGCUGUGUAAAAAACACUGAUACCAACAAGACUAGAUCAGUCUGAGGAAAGAGAAUUUGGCCCUUAGUUGUGACUGUGCUGCAUUUGCAAUACUUUAUAACCUAAGUGUCACAUAAAGUAGCUAUACUUCCAAAUAAAUCAAAACAUUCAUAGAACAAUCCUGACUUUUGGCUGGUCUGUACAGAGGUAUUAAAUAUAAGCUCCGAUUUCACUCUACAAAUGAAUUAAAUUGUAGGAGGAAUAUGCUCAAAAAGGCUCUUCCUCACGAUCUCUUGUGAAAAUUCUGCCAUCAAACUGAACGGAAGGUUAGGGUGAUUUCACUGCAUUCGAGGCAGUUCACUUUUCUGACUGAUCACCCGGGGCUGACAUUACUUUUCCUGAGGGGUCAUCAAAAUAUUUUCAAAAGAGAAAUUUUUUUGCCUUUUGAACAUAUAUUACAUCAAAGGGCAGGUAUUUUCCAAAAUAUUUCCUGGU